rnacentral:tRNA from 1 species
GGAAAGAUGGCAGAGUUGGUCGAUUGCACUGGUCUUGAAAACCAGCAUAGUUUGCGCUAUCGAGGGUUCGAAUCCCUCUCUUUCCG